CCAACCCAGCCAUUGGAAAUCACACAAUAUUUGGGAACAGAAACUUGGCCUGAUCAUUUGAAGCCUACAUAGCCUUUUCUCAAGGUCUUUCAGCUAUAAUCAGCAAAGUCUCUUUGGAGGAUUCUCUCAGAACAAGACUGAAGUAGGCUGUAGCAUUUCUAGUGAGUGUUUACAUACACUUCUCCAGAAAACAAGCAAACAUGGAAAUGAUUAAAGAAGAUGGCUCAAAUUCUGCCCUUCAAGCAGCCAAGGGGUAGGGGGAAUAAAUCCUCAAUGAAGACAAGGGAUGCUUAAGAUGAGGAAUCUCAGUCUGCAGGAUGAACCAAGAGGCUGGAUACCCUGGCUGAAGUGUGCCAGGGCUCAGAGGAGCACAGCAGCUUGCCAGAUCCUCCCUGGAUUGGGGCAUAUCAGCCUGAUACAAAUCAGAGGGACUGCCAUCUGCACUUAUCAAGACAGUUGUGGACUUUCUUUGAAGCUGGGAGAUGGCCCAGGUGCAUGUUUUGUAGCAGAAACCAAAAUAAGGAUUUCAUGCUGCACAAGGACUUUCUCUCUUAUAAGAAAACCACUGGAGCGUGUGAAUUUUGCUGUGCUGACAUAACACAUCUGGCUUGUAUCAGGGCCCGAGUUGAUAGAAGCAAUGUGGAAAAACCCAACCAUCUAAUCCCAGGAAGUACCAGUGGCAGUCAUUAAGUUAUCACCUACAGAAUCAGGAAACCAGAUGGGAGAGCAUUGUUCAGAAGAAGGAAUAAAUUGCACCGAAUCUGUGUCGCAGUUUCUGGCAUUUUGGAGGUUUCAUAAAGGAUGUAGCAGGAGGAAGUCUGGACAGCUGUCCAGAAAAGUUGCUUGACAUGGGCCUCAGGAAUGCCUUGUGGAACUUCAGCUCUUACUCCAUCAUCACAGCCUUGCAGAGAGGGGUGAUGGCUGCAUCUGGGAGUCCAUCUAAGGAAGAGACUGGUCUCUUUUGAACACUGGUGUGAAGCAAGGCUACACUUGCUUUCUGGGGCUGUUUAGCAUCAUCAUACAUAGCUACUGUGCACG